AUGAACGCUAGCGACAGGCUUAACACAUGCAAGUCGAGGGGCAGCACAGGUAGCAAUACCGGGUGGCGACCGGCGCACGGGUGAGUAACGCGUAUGCAACUUACCUAUCAGAGGGGGAUAACCCGGCGAAAGUCGGACUAAUACCGCAUGAAGCAGGGGCCCCGCAUGGGGAUAUUUGCUAAAGAUUCAUCGCUGAUAGAUAGGCAUGCGUUCCAUUAGGCAGUUGGCGGGGUAACGGCCCACCAAACCGACGAUGGAUAGGGGUUCUGAGAGGAAGGUCCCCCACAUUGGUACUGAGACACGGACCAAACUCCUACGGGAGGCAGCAGUGAGGAAUAUUGGUCAAUGGCCGAGAGGCUGAACCAGCCAAGUCGCGUGAGGGAUGAAGGUUCUGUGGAUCGUAAACCUCUUUUAUAAGGGAAUAAAGUGCGGGACGUGUCCCGUUUUGUAUGUACCUUAUGAAUAAGGAUCGGCUAACUCCGUGCCAGCAGCCGCGGUAAUACGGAGGAUCCGAGCGUUAUCCGGAUUUAUUGGGUUUAAAGGGUGCGUAGGCGGCCUUUUAAGUCAGCGGUGAAAGUCUGUGGCUCAACCAUAGAAUUGCCGUUGAAACUGGGGGGCUUGAGUAUGUUUGAGGCAGGCGGAAUGCGUGGUGUAGCGGUGAAAUGCAUAGAUAUCACGCAGAACCCCGAUUGCGAAGGCAGCCUGCCAAGCCAUGACUGACGCUGAUGCACGAAAGCGUGGGGAUCAAACAGGAUUAGAUACCCUGGUAGUCCACGCAGUAAACGAUGAUCACUAGCUGUUUGCGAUACACUGUAAGCGGCACAGCGAAAGCGUUAAGUGAUCCACCUGGGGAGUACGCCGGCAACGGUGAAACUCAAAGGAAUUGACGGGGGCCCGCACAAGCGGAGGAACAUGUGGUUUAAUUCGAUGAUACGCGAGGAACCUUACCCGGGUUUGAACGCAUUCGGACCGAGGUGGAAACACCUUUUCUAGCAAUAGCCGUUUGCGAGGUGCUGCAUGGUUGUCGUCAGCUCGUGCCGUGAGGUGUCGGCUUAAGUGCCAUAACGAGCGCAACCCUUGCCACUAGUUACUAACAGGUAAAGCUGAGGACUCUGGUGGGACUGCCAGCGUAAGCUGCGAGGAAGGCGGGGAUGACGUCAAAUCAGCACGGCCCUUACAUCCGGGGCGACACACGUGUUACAAUGGCGUGGACAAAGGGAGGCCACCUGGUGACAGGGAGCGAAUCCCCAAACCACGUCUCAGUUCGGAUCGGAGUCUGCAACCCGACUCCGUGAAGCUGGAUUCGCUAGUAAUCGCGCAUCAGCCAUGGCGCGGUGAAUACGUUCCCGGGCCUUGUACACACCGCCCGUCAAGCCAUGGGAGCCGGGGGUACCUGAAGUCCGUAACCGAAAGGAUCGGCCUAGGGUAAAACUGGUGACUGGGGCU
rnacentral:rRNA from 1 species